AUCCAGCUGACGAGUCCCAAAUAGGAUGAAACGUGUGUCAAACUGGAU
rfam:Schistosoma margrebowiei strain Zambia genome assembly, scaffold: SMRZ_scaffold0003281